AUCAACUUGAGAAUAAGACGCCUCUAGACAUACUAUAAUAUGUGGCUUAUUCUCACACUUGAUUUUCAAAGCAUCUCUGAAGACCUAGCCUUUCCAUUUCAAACUUAUUAAUCAAUGAUUCUUGAUUAACACUUGAUAUAAGGUUCAGUCAAUUAAUUUAGACCAAAUCUUCCCCUAUAACAGAGAAUUGCAUUGUCCCUACUGCUCAUAGAAAAGACAGCCAUCUAACCUCUGCUCUAUAUUCUUCUCAUGCACUUUGACAUUUCGUCCGUACCAACUUUCCAUUAAUUGAACCAUAGUUUAAAAGGACAAACACCAGAGUCACCAACUCACCAUGAUCAGAGAAAAUUGUUUUGCAAGUGGUAUAACGCAUUUAAACUUGCACGAUGAUAUGAAAUAAUAAUAAAAUUUA
rnacentral:misc_RNA from 1 species